rnacentral:rRNA from 1 species
UACGAGGGGAGCAAGCGUUGUUCGGAUUUACUGGGCGUAAAGGGCGCGUAGGCGGUCGUGACAGGUCACUUGUGAAAUCUCCGGGCUUAACUCGGAACGGUCAAGUGAUACUGUCGGACUAGAGUACAGAAGGGGCAACUGGAAUUCUCGGUGUAGCGGUGAAAUGCGUAGAUAUCGAGAGGAACACCUGCGGCGAAGGCGGGUUGCUGGGCUGAUACUGACGCUGAUGCGCGAAAGCCAGGGGAGCGAACGGG